CCCCUAGUAACUGCGAGUGAAGCGGGAAAAGCUCAAAUUUAAAAUCUGGCGGUCUUUGGCUGUCCGAGUUGUAAUCUAGAGAAGUGYUAUCCGCGCUGGACCGUGUACAAGUCUCCUGGAAUGGAGCGUCAUAGAGGGUGAGAAUCCCGUCUUUGACACGGACUGCCAGGGCUUUGUGAUGCGCUCUCAAAGAGUCGAGUUGUUUGGGAAUGCAGCUCAAAAUGGGUGGUAAAUUCCAUCUAAAGCUAAAUAUUGGCGAGAGACCGAUAGCGAACAAGUACCGUGAGGGAAAGAUGAAAAGAACUUUGGAAAGAGAGUUAAACAGUACGUGAAAUUGCUGAAAGGGAAACGCUUGAAGUCAGUCGCGUUGUCCAGGGAUCAUCCUUGCUUUUGCUUGGUGCACUUUCUGGUUGACGGGUCAGCAUCAAUUUUGACCAUUGGAAAAAGAUUAGGGGAAUGUGGCAUCUUCGGAUGUGUUAUAGCCCUUAGUUGCAUACAAUGGUUGGGAUUGAGGAACUCAGCACGCCGCAAGGCCGGGUUUUUAACCACGUACGUGCUUAGGAUGCUGGCAUAAUGGCUUUAAUCGACCCGUCUUGAAACACGGACCAAGGAGUCUAACAUGCCUGCGAGUGUUUGGGUGGAAAACCCGAGCGCGUAAUGAAAGUGAAAGUUGAGAUCCCUGUCGUGGGGAGCAUCGACGCCCGGACCAGACCUUUUGUGACGGUUCCGCGGUAGAGCAUGUAUGUUGGGACCCGAAAGAUGGUGAACUAUGCCUGAAUAGGGUGAAGCCAGAGGAAACUCUGGUGGAGGCUCGUAGCGAUUCUGACGUGCA
rnacentral:rRNA from 1 species